GACGAGCGCUGGCGGCGUGCUUAACACAUGCAAGUCGAACGGAAAGGCCCUGCUUUUGUGGGGUGCUCGAGUGGCGAACGGGUGAGUAACACGUGAGUAACCUGCCCUUGACUUUGGGAUAACUUCAGGAAACUGGGGCUAAUACCGGAUAGGAGCUCCUGCUGCAUGGUGGGGGUUGGAAAGUUUCGGCGGUUGGGGAUGGACUCGCGGCUUAUCAGCUUGUUGGUGGGGUAGUGGCUUACCAAGGCUUUGACGGGUAGCCGGCCUGAGAGGGUGACCGGCCACAUUGGGACUGAGAUACGGCCCAGACUCCUACGGGAGGCAGCAGUGGGGAAUAUUGCACAAUGGGCGGAAGCCUGAUGCAGCAACGCCGCGUGCGGGAUGACGGCCUUCGGGUUGUAAACCGCUUUCGCCUGUGACGAAGCGUGAGUGACGGUAAUGGGUAAAGAAGCACCGGCUAGCUACGUG
rnacentral:rRNA from 1 species